GUGCCUUUUCUGCAGUAGAUUAUUCGUCUCUACUCCAAUAACAUCAGAAUUGGCCUUGUGACUUGAUGGACCAAUGAAGUUUGAGCAGAAGUGACACAUGACACUUUUGAACAGAAGCUUUAAGAACCAUCAGCUGAUUCUGCCCUCUUCCUUUGCCCUCUGCCUUGAUACUGAUACUAUCCCAGAUUGGAGAUACUCCUGGAGCCUGAGUCCCAGAGUGAAGAGCUGAAGCCAAACUCAGUGAAGAUUUAACACAGCUGAGAACUGCACCUUCAUUAAUGUGACGUGCAGAAGCCAGGGCCCUUCAUCAUGUUACUAUGGACUUGGCCCAAGAGUUGCAGAAGCCGAAGGAGGAUCCAGAGGAAAGUUGAGCAUUUGCAGGCCCAGCCCCUGCCUCAUGCCAGGGAGGAUGGAUCUUUGACUUUAAAAGAGAAAUUAGAACCCACAGCUGCACAUCUAGGUCUAAAGAUGCUGAAGAAGAUUAAACUGACAUAUCAGAGAGUUCUCUGACUCAUGGAAGAGAGGCAUCUACUCCAAGAAACUAAGCAAAAUUGUUAAUAAGAAUUGAAAAUAUGAAAAAGCUACCUUUCCCUCAGCUUUAUAGAUGUUAAAAAUUUACCUUAUGGUGUCUUAUAAAACAGAACUUUUGCAAUAGUAUUAUGGUGCCAGUAAAGUUGUGGCAUCAUUUUCAGACCAAUCAUUCAGAGUUUAAAGGAAAAGGAACUGAAUAUUUUAUACAUAGAAAAAAUUAUUUUUUUGUGUGUGUGUGGUGAGGAAGAUUGUCCCUGAGCUAACAUCUGUGCCAAUAUUCCUCUAUUUUGUAUGUGGGCCACCACCACAGCGUGACUUGAUGAGUGUUGUGUAGGUGUCCACCUGGGAUCCAAACCCAUGAACCCCGGGCUGCAGAAGUGAAGCACAUGAACUUAACCCCUAUGCCACUGGGCCAGCCCCUGGAAAAGUGAACUUUUAAUGACAAAAAUGGUUCACUACUUCACAGACCAGAAAUGAAAACAUCACUAAAGCAAUAAAGCACUUUACAGGUUAAGUUAUAUUUUGCGUUGAACAGAGACAUGCACACGAUACUUGAAAGCCUAACAAAGCCUUGUAGAGUUGACACUGCUGAAUACCUGUCAAUUUCCAACUAUACAGUUGUUUGUUGAAUUAAAAACUUAACUACAAACAUGAAGACUGAGUUUAUAUCUGCU
rnacentral:lncRNA from 1 species